CCUCGGAUAGUGUAGUUGGUUAGCACACGGGAUUUUGAGAUUAAAAUCUUCCCGUAACUCGAGUUCGAAUCUCGAUCUGAGGU